GAUGAACGCUGGCGGCGUGCCUAAUACAUGCAAGUCGAGCGAACAGACGAGGAGCUUGCUCCUCUGACGUUAGCGGCGGACGGGUGAGUAACACGUGGAUAACCUACCUAUAAGACUGGGAUAACUUCGGGAAACCGGAGCUAAUACCGAUAAUAUAUUGAACCGCAUGGUUCAAUAGUGAAAGACGGUUUUGCUGUCACUUAUAGAUGGAUCCGCGCCGCAUUAGCUAGUUGGUAAGGUAACGGCUUACCAAGGCGACGAUGCGUAGCCGACCUGAGAGGGUGAUCGGCCACACUGGAACUGAGACACGGUCCAGACUCCUACGGGAGGCAGCAGUAGGGAAUCUUCCGCAAUGGGCGAAAGCCUGACGGAGCAACGCCGCGUGAGUGAUGAAGGUCUUCGGAUCGUAAAACUCUGUUAUUAGGGAAGAACAAAUGUGUAAGUAACUAUGCACGUCUUGACGGUACCUAAUCAGAAAGCCACGGCUAACUACGUG
rnacentral:rRNA from 1 species